rnacentral:lncRNA from 7 species
AGGUUUGGAAGUAAGGGCAUCACGAGGGAGCCUGGAGAUGGAAGCACUCAGGGCCGAGGGCACUUGCGAGCAAGGGCUGCUGGACGCACGGCACAGCCCCUCGGCGAUGGCACUCGAGGCUGAGGUUCUUUGGUGGUGAAAGCAUACAGGGCUAAGAGGGAUGAGAGCGAAGAUAGAAAUAAUUUUGCUGUGGAUCCAAAUGGUGGCAUCGUGCUGUACUGACUUCGUCUCUUGUCUUCAUUCCACUAGCUUUUCACAAGGACGUGCUUUGGAGGCAUGACUUUACAAAGGUGUUGCUUUACAAUCUUUUUAAAAAUGAGUUAUUUCAGCAUAAAACUAUGUAAAAAUUACGCCUUGUGGAUGCACAAUGGUAUUUUUAUUGCAUUCUUAGAUACGGCUCACUGAACAGUAAAACCAAUUUUCAUGUGAUCUUAAAGAGGGCAGAAGUCUUUGUCACGCUUUGAAAAAUAACUUUUGCACAAAUUUGUUUAUUGGAGUUAUUAAUUUCUGUGAAUAUUCAGGCAGUGCUCCGUUGGCCUUAGCAGCGACAAAGAAAGAAUGGCAAGCAGAUUUUAUUAAACUAGAUUACAUUGGAUGGCUUACAUUUCCUUUCUCUGUUCAUCCAUUUAAAAGAAAAGAAAAUGCAACACUUCAUCUGAUACCAGUUCUGUUGCGUGAGUCCAACUGAGGGAUUGCUCAAGGGUACCUUUGUACCACGUCAAACUUCAGGAUUUUUACUACUCCAGCACAGUGGACUGUGACAGAGAUACAGGUAAUAUUAAUCACCAUGGAAUCAUAGAAUGGCCUGGUCUGGUAUUGGAUAUGGAGGUUGGCGGCCCUGCCUGUGGCGGGGGCGGGUUGGAGCUUUAUGAUCUUUGAGGUCCCUUCCAGCCUAAGCCAUUCUCUGAUUCUAUGGUUCUACGAUGGGCCUUAAUGCAGAAAAUGAGGACAGUUAUGUCCUAUUUUUUUCAUUAAUUCCCAAGUAAUAUCUUUCUUUGUUCAAAAAUCAAAGAUCCAAAUGAUAUUCCCCAAUCAGGUUAUAAUUCAACAUAUAAUUCAUAUAAUUCAGGUUAUAUGUCUUUUUUUUUUUUUAAUUUAAAGUACCAAAUAUCGUUUAAAUUGAUGGGAAGAAGGGAAUUUAGGAAGUGACAAUGUGAAGUCCCUGUCCUGAAAAAGGAAAAAAAAUUCAUUUUUAAACACAUUGCUUCCCUGCUUCUUCACUUAAGAGAAGAGCUUUUGUAUGGUAAAAGCAGGUCUUGAAAAGUUUCAAUUGCCAAAGUAGGUGUUAGAUCAGGGUUAAAGAGGAAAAGCUGGCUGGGGGAGACAUACAAGAAGUUAACGUUCCCACAAAUUAUUUCUUGCCUUGUAUUUGAAAGACCUUUUAUUUCAGAUGGCCUUUGGUCAUGCAAUUGUUCUGUGAAUAAGUAGGAAACUGAUUCUAUGGAAUGUCAAUCUGUGGCUCUACAUGCAUUGCAUUAAUUUUUUUUUAAUAAAGCCUUCAUAUACUAUUUUGUUUUAUUUAUGAUUUUAUUUACUAAUUUUAAUUACAUUUACCUUGGAUGCUUGUAAUCUUUUAAACUGUGUUUCGUCAUACAGCACCUGGGUACUCUUGGGCAGGAGAGUGUGUAUAGGCUCAUCUUCUGAAUAGAGAUUUUAUCAUUUAUUAUGAUUAUUUACAACAGAUACAAAGUUUGUCACAAUAUUAGGGGUUUUAUGCUCUUAUUUACACCAGUAUAAACAUGGAAUUGUUCUUUCAUACUAAGGGCAUUUUGACUGGGGAAUCAUUACUUUGUACUGUAGUCUGUUAAUAACCGGAUAGGACAAUAUUGCAUUCUAUGUUAGAAGGCACUGCUUUCAGUCAGGCCCAUCACUGCCAAUGUAUCCAUCUCGUGAUUGUAAUUAGCAGACUGAUGCUGGUCUCUUUCUAGUUUCCUGCAAAUUAAAACAAUUUCUGUUU